UGGGCUAUAGCUCAGUGGUAGAGCACAUGCCCGGCAUGCAGGAGACCCUAGGUUUGAUGCCUAGUAGUGCGG
rfam:Ictidomys tridecemlineatus contig053469, whole genome shotgun sequence.